UACGUAGGGGGCAAGCGUUGUCCGGAAUCAUUGGGCGUAAAGAGCGUGUAGGCGGCCCGGUAAGUCCGCUGUGAAAGUCGAGGGCUCAACCCUCGAAUGCCGGCGGAUACUGUCGGGCUAGAGUCCGGAAGAGGCGAGUGGAAUUCCUGGUGUAGCGGUGAAAUGCGUAGAUAUCUGGAGGAACACCGGUGGCGAAGGCGGCAUCCUGGACCGGCAUUGACGCUGAGGCGCGAAAGCUAGGGGAGCAAACGGG
rnacentral:rRNA from 1 species